UACGUAGGGUGCAAGCGUUGUCCGGAAUUAUUGGGCGUAAAGAGCUCGUAGGCGGUCUGUCGCGUCGAAUGUGAAAACCCGGGGCUCAACUCCGGGCCUGCAUUCGAUACGGGCAGACUAGAGUUCGGUAGGGGAGACUGGAAUUCCUGGUGUAGCGGUGAAAUGCGCAGAUAUCAGGAGGAACACCGGUGGCGAAGGCGGGUCUCUGGGCCGAUACUGACGCUGAGGAGCGAAAGCGUGGGGAGCAAACAGG
rnacentral:rRNA from 1 species